AAAUCAGCCCUUUUCAGGGCUACCAAAUUAUUUAACGAGGAACUA
rfam:Trichomalopsis sarcophagae strain Alberta scaffold14716, whole genome shotgun sequence.